AUCAUGAUGAUCAAUGUUCUAUGCAUCUUUACGCACAUGGGAUUUACUACAGCAAUAUUUUAGCUCUCUUUCCUACAGUUAGAUGAGCAGCAACGAUAUCUAGCGGUUUAGUUCCGAAAACUCCCCAUUAUUUAGUCCAUUUCGGUAGAUUUUUUUUGCUCCAUUUCGGUGCAUAUUGGUAGUUGGUUGCAUUUCGGUCCAUUCGGUAGUUUUUGGCUGUAUUUCGGUGCAUUUCGGUAAUUUUUUACUGCAUUUCGGUAAAUUUCGGUAGUCUUUGGUUGCAUUUUGUUACAUUUCCGUAGUUUUUGGCUGCAUUUCGAUAUUAGGCAUGACCCUUUCAGACCUUGCUUGUUUUGCUCGCUUUUUGGAGGAUAGUAUAGGUGGGGUGAAAGAAGAGUUAAAAGUGGAAGUCUAGUGUAGUCUUGCUGUUCAACCCUUUCAGACCAUUGCGGACGCCCCAUAUUUAUGCGCUUUCGGUCUGAAUCAGCUGAGGAGCAUGUAGAUAUGUUAUUCUGUAUACUUCUUUCCUUGCUGUUUCCUCCUCCAACAGGUCAGAAAGUGUGCCGUAUUCUAAAACGCUGCUCUCUCACCACGACUAUUUUCUAAGGCUACAGAGAUUAUUAGUGAGGGAUCACCACCACCACCACCCUGAUAAUAAUCUUAGUAGCUAGAAAUAGUUCUUAUGAUACAAUAGUUUCAAAAUUCCGGUACCAUGGAACAAAAUCUGGCGUGGACAGACGCACCAAAAUUUGUUUCAUGCCACCUUUGUUUCGUGACAUCGGUUCACAGCUGAUACCACAACCACCAUCAUCAGCAACAGUACCACCACCAUCAAUAUUUCUACAUAACCACCAUCACUAUCAUCACCACCACCACCACCACCACCAAGGAUUCUACAUACCACCACCACCACCAUCACUAUCAUCAUCAUCAACAGCAGCGGCAUGGCCGAAGUAAACAAUCCGUGGUGAUGCUGGCCGGUAUGGGUAGAGUGGCUGGCUUGGGCCGGAUGGCGGUGUUCCUGAUGGGCCAGGGACAUGUCAGGCUCGUCAUGCUCCCCGGCCUGCGCCUCGGUGUGCCCUCUCGUCACUCCACCUGCAGGGGCGCAGCUGUGGGGCAGGACGGCAGGAUGGACAGGAUUAUACACAGACCUCUAACCAGUGUGGCUCUGUCUGCAGUAUUAGCCCAGCAGGGCAGGCUGCUUGUCCCUCGCCACACUGGUUUGAGUGAAAACAUGAAAACCUUCUCAGACCUGAACAGCACUUCAACUAAAAUGUCACAAGUGGAGAUAAGCCUGCAGGAGUUGAGGAUGAAGCUGGAGAGGUUAGGCAGUCUGAAGCUGAAUGACAUCAACCAGGCAGUGAAGUCCUUGGAGCAGUGCGUGGAGGAGCUCUCUGAUGCAGACUGUCUCCAGCUCCUCCAGUUUUGCUGCAGAAUGACUGAAGAAGAGUACCGGCCAUGUGGUUCCCUCAUCCACCGGGUGUGGCGUCUCACCACCGACAGACCAAGUGGGAAUGUGAAUGUGGAGCAUCUGGAGCUGUACCUUCGCCUGUGUCUCUCAGUGGAGUCAACCAGCAUCUCAAAAAGGGACAUCUUCGAGCAGCUAGAAAGGCACUGCAUAGAGCCGAGUGCCCAUGUGUUUGAGGUGCUAAUGAUGGCUCUGGGGCAGCGCGGCCACUUGGAGGGAGCCUUGCAAGUGCUGACCAUGAUGAAGGAGCAUGGUGUUGCUGUGAGAGAAGCUACCUUUGCUGCCCUCAUCCUGGCCUAUGGUGCUGAAAAUGACUGGGAGGGUGUAGAGGGAGUACUAGACACCAUGAGAAGUGUCCAAGUGUCCCAGUCAGAGGUGACCUUUGGAGCACUAGCCAUUGUGUGUGGUACUCAGGGGCAGGUGCUGAGAGUGAGGCAAGUGGUCACCCAGGCAUGGCAGAGAGGUGUGGCCCUGUCCAGUACUCAGCUAGAGGCAGUGCUGUUUGCCCUCAUCAGGAAUGGCCAUGCUGGGGAUUCCUAUGAGAAUAUUGACUUUGUUCUGCAGUUGAUUCAGGAGAGUGGGAUGAAGGCUGACAUAUCCCACUUGGCUCUGCGCCUCAUCCACUGUGGCCGGGUGAAGGAAGCGGUCCACCUGGUCCUUUCCCUUCCUUUCCUGCGCACCAAUAACCACCUUUAUUCCAACGCUGCCAUCUACUUGCGUGAGAUUGUCCACACACGAACAGCCCCAGGUGUGGUGGUGGAUUUGUGCCACCACCUGCAGGAGGAAGGCAUCAACCAGUUCGCCCUGCAGGUAGCCCUGGAGCACGCCUUGAGGGAGCGAUGGGAGGAGCUGGCCUGGGUGCUGCUGAAGGCCAUGAAGGAUGCUGGCCUGCCCCUUAGGGAACACUAUUUCUGGCCACUCCUCCACCUCAAGGCCAUUGCCCAGGAACCUGCCCAAUUGUUAGAGUGUGUGCAGCUAAUGCUUCAGCUUGGGGAAGCUCCAAGCCUUGUGACUCUGCGUGACCACAUCAUUCCUGGCCUGAGCCUGAGCCAGCCACACCUUGCUCUACAGAUGCUGCAGAACACAGGGCUCUCAGCCACUGCUGCUGCCACACCACUGCUCAUGGUGCUGGUCAAAAACAACAUGAUGGAACAGGCCAUCAAGUUUGUGAAGGAGACCAAAGUGCCGCUUAAUGUAGGGGACACUCUGAGCACUCUGGCUCCAGCAUGGCACUCCAAUCCAAAGUCCAUCAUUUCCCUUCUUGCUCUCCUCAUGCACCACGGCCAGGAGCCAUCGAGCAAGAACACAGAUGACUGGGGUGGGCAGUUCCUUCUCAGCUUGGUGGCCACAAGGGCAGGUCUUGCUGUUCAUCACAUCCACCCUCUCUUCCAGGAGCUGAGGAAACACGGGAUUGGUGUGUCAGAGCACUCAGCAGACCUUCUUGUGAACCAAUUGAGCCAGCCACUGCAGAAGGCAGUGAAGGACAACCUAUCCCUUGUGCUGCAGCCUGCCCUGGAUCAACCUCCUCAGCAGAGCAUCUCAGAGCAGCUCCAUCAGCAGCAUCACAGCACCCUUCCCCACCCACGCAAUAUGAAUGAGGGUGAGCUUGAGGGACACCUUGAGGAGCUGCGUGCAAAGGGACUCAACAUCCGAGGGUCCCUGCGCCGCCUGCUGCUCCUCCGUGCCUCCAGGAAUGACACAGCUGGGGUGCUGGAGCUCAUGAGGAGUGCCUCUAAGGAUGGGCAGCAGCUGAGUGCUGGCAUGUUGUCUGGUGUUCUCAUGGCUUAUGUAGACAACAACAACACCAAGGCUGCCCUGGACAUGUAUUCCCUGCUUGGCACCAAACACCCAAGCUUCAAGGUGGACUCUUACAAGGUGGUGGACCUUUGCACCCUCCUCACCCAGAGUGGCAAGGCUACAGAGGCAAAUGAGAUCCUUCAGGAGUAUAUCAUGAAGACUGAUGGGAAAAAUGUUAACACUAGACAGAUACUGAGGAACUGCAGGAACUUGCUCUUGGCAUCAGCCAGCACCAGUAGUCCUCAGGAGACGGACAAAUUAUUCAGUCUGUUGCUGCAGGGGGGCCUGGUGGAGCCUGACACUGUGACUCUUGGCGUGCUGAUUAAGAGCAGACUCAACAGGGGUGACUUGGCAGGAGCAAUAGAGAUGGCUAAGAAGGUGCAGCAGCAGUACAGUUGUCUUCCCAUGCGGCGAGAGUUGCUCAUUCACCUCAUCAACCACCACUAUGGAAACAAGAUCUGCUGCAGGACAUGCUGGACCUCAUUGCCAAUGUGAAGGGACCACUGGUGGCUCGGCAUGACUUGCUGUUCGCCUACCUAGAGGCUGGCCAACCAGCUGAGGCCAGAACAGUGCUCAGGAACCUAGCAAGAUAUCUUGACCAGCGUCAGCUGACUCGACAGCUGCAGUAUUAUGUCAAGACAGAGAACAAGGAGGCUGUGGUGCAUCUGCUCACUGCCUCACGGGGGCUGCACAACACUGACCGCCAGGCAGUGUAUGAAUCCCUCCUCGAUAUCUACUACGUGCAGAGUGAGGGCGAGAAGGGGCUGUCCCUGUGGACCUCGAUGCAGGAGGAAGGCCUCACCCCCGCGCCCUCCUUCCUCACCACUCUGGCAGCGCUUCUGGCUGCCUGCAAAAUAAAGAUUCCGUUUCAGAUAUGAGGCAGUGUGUAGAAUGAGAUGAAUAUCCUUCUGCAAAAAACUGUUUGUAAUUGUAAACCUUCGCCUCAGGAAUGUACAUAAUUAAUCUAUUAUAUUGAAUAUAAUGUGUAUAUAUUCAUAGUAAAUUUGAAUUUGUACU